rnacentral:rRNA from 3 species
CUACGGGAGGCAGCAGUGGGGAAUAUUGGACAAUGGGGGCAACCCUGAUCCAGCAAUGCCGCGUGUGUGAAGAAGGUCUUCGGAUUGUAAAGCACUUUCACUAGGGAAGAUGAUGACGGUACCUAGAGAAGAAGCCCCGGCUAACUUCGUGCCAGCAGCCGCGGUAAUACGAAGGGGGCUAGCGUUGCUCGGAAUGACUGGGCGUAAAGGGCGCGUAGGCUGUUUGUACAGUCAGAUGUGAAAUCCCCGGGCUUAACCUGGGAACUGCAUUUGAUACGUGCAGACUAGAGUCCGAGAGAGGGUUGUGGAAUUCCCAGUGUAGAGGUGAAAUUCGUAGAUAUUGGGAAGAACACCGGUUGCGAAGGCGGCAACCUGGCUCGGAACUGACGCUGAGGCGCGAAAGCGUGGGGAGCGAACAGGAUUAGAUACCCUGGUAGUCCACGCUGUAAACGAUGUGUGCUGGAUGUUGGGUGAUUUUAUCAUUCAGUGUCGGAGCUAACGCGUUAAGCACACCGCCUGGGGAGUACGGCCGCAAGGUUGAAACUCAAAGGAAUUGACNGGGGGCCGCACAAGCGGUG